UAUCACAUUGAUCCUAUUCAAAUUCUCUGCUCUUUUUUUUCUUCUUUUUGUGCCUGAAAGCACAAAAAACGGUAUUGUUAGUUCACAGCAAACAGCCCAGCAAAAUGACCUAGCAUCAGUCCAGCAAAAUGACCCAACAUCAGUCCAGCAAAAUGACCCAGCAUCUGUCCAGCAAAAUGACCCAGCAUCAGUCCAGCAAAAUGACCCAGCAUCAGUCCAGCAAAAUGACCCAGCAUCUGUCCAGCAAAAUGACCCAACAUCAGUCCAGCAAAAUGACCCAGCAUCUGUCCAGCAAAAUGACCCAGCAUCUGUCCAGCAAAAUGACCCAGCAUCAGUCCAGCAAAAUGACCCAUCAUCUGUCCAGCAAAAUGACCCAACAUCAGUCCAGCAAAAUGACCCAGCAUCUGUCCAGCAAAAUGACCCAGCAUCUGUCCAGCAAAAUGACCCAGCAUCAGUCCAGCAAAAUGACCCAGCGUCUGUCCAGCAAAAUGACCCAGCAUCUGUCCAGCAAAAUGACCCAGCAUCUGUCCAGCAAAAUGACCCAGCAUCUGUCCAGCACAAUGACACACCAGUUGGCCUUCAGCAUGAUAUAUCAAUUGGCCAGCAACAUGACACAUCAAUCAACCAAAGAGUCUGGCCUUCUGGGUUUAGACUUCCAGAAUUUCCAGCCGUGUUAAAAAAGGUCUCAGAUUGGGCAAGUGUUGUUCGACUUCAUGUGUACCUACACUUUGCAAUACAUGUGUGCACAGCGCUCAUUCAAAAGUACCCCUCGUUGAGAGGCCACACAGGGAAGGGAUAUGAGUCAUGGCACGGCAUGAUAAAGAAUAAAUACAAAAAAGAACGGCAGCCGCUUGCUCACGUUGCACAAGUACAGGAAAUGCAGAAGAGGUUUGGGAGGCAAGGGGAAAAAAAUUAACCCAGAUGACACCGAAAAUGAAGACCCGACCAGAAUAGCCAAGAUUGAGACUGGUGAGGAUUCCUUCAGUCAAAAGUUACAUGUUGAAAAGAUGCAGGUGGAGUGCCAAAAAAAGAGACCAAACAUAAGUUCCCAACAAGACAAAAUGAAAAGGACUGAAAAAUAGAACUUUUUAUGAAACAACAAGGCACCAAGGACAUCUUAAAACAGUACCCAACAAACAGUACCCGCCAUUAUUUUCGUAGAGAUGAGAAGCAAAUUCGGUAUGGAUGUGGACAGAAACAUUCUGUCCGGAUUCUGCACAAUGGCCAACAAAAUCAUUGCAGAAAUGGAGAGGAGGGGUGUGGUGGUGGAGUUGCUGAAUCGCUACAAGAAGGCACUUCUCUCACACACGGAGGAGGCUCACAAAGUUAAUAAU